GUUGGUGAUGAUUAAAUCCUUGGUCUGCAAUAUCUAGUGACUGCAAAGCUACUGUACAGGAGCCCAGGACUGGUAGCGGUUUUGUGCAUAUUCGUCAUCAUUCUGGCCUUACUGUUGGUGAUUGGGCUAACAAAGGGCUUGACCUCCAGUAAUUCAAAGUUUGAAAGACUGGAAGAAGUACCAAUGGGCAAAAUGAAUGAGGAAUCUCCAUUUGCACAGUACCCACCCAAAUGAACAAGUCAACUCAUGAGGCAUGACAGAGAGGACAAAUAAUUACUUCGAAAUAUUACUGUGUACAUGUGUAAACAAGUGUUUAUGAGGCAAAAUAAAUCAAAUAAAGGAUAAAUAAAAAAUAUGUUCAUAUUAUUUUCU
ensembl:lncRNA